AAAAAAUCAAAAAAACAACCAAUCAAAAGAGAGAAAAAUAUUAGUUUUUUUUUGUUUCUUGAUCUAUUUCAAGUUUUCAACAUUGAUACUAAAAUUCAUUGUUAUCAAUUUUUUCAAUCGGUUUAUUUUGCGAUUUUUUGUACCGAUAGUUUCAAUUUUGGUGCUUAUCCAUUUGAUUCUUUAACGAGAUCUACCAUUUUUGUUUUGUCUACUUUUUCUACUGCAUUUAUCGGCGGGUCGCCGACAGAGUUUUCUUGAUUCCCCGGUUAUUUCUUUUUAUCUUUGUUAUUGAUUCUUUCGGUUAAUAGACAAGUGAUAAUAGCUGGAAAGUUUGGCAGCAGUGCGUCUGGUGUUUUGCUGUUCCUUUCUUUUCUUCACGCGUGGCGUUCCUCUUAAUGCUUAAAGCUCUGUUUUUCUAACUGGUUUUGGAUUUGGGAAAAAGAUAAAUGGAUAUGUACUGUGAAGUCAAUGGUUUGAUCUAAUUUCUGAAAAAUUCAACGUCAGCAAAUAUUUUUAAAAUUUAAUUUCUUCGUAAUAAUCCUCUGUUUUACCAUUACCAAAAAAAAAAAAUUAAAAAAAUGAUGCGAAUGAAGACCAAAACCACCGCUAUGCCACCGAUGAUGAACGAUAAUUCGGCCGGCGGUAGAGACCGUGCUGCUGCCGACAACGAAUGGGAAGUCCGACCCGGUGGAAUGUUGGUU
rnacentral:misc_RNA from 1 species